rnacentral:lncRNA from 1 species
CUUCGCUGGGGACCGAGGUACACGUCUCCCCACGWGUCCCCCGCCCGGCCCGCCCCCGGCUAUCGGCACCGCGUGCCUGGGCUUGCAUGACGCACCUCGAGGCAGUGGGAUUGGGACRGGGGCUAUUUUUGGUGGUGCAGAUAAUGGGUUUCUGCCCAGGAACAUGUUCCGGGAACGGAAGCCGUGCUGGGUGGAGGAGCACCUUCAGGGUUUUAAAGCACUUGGACUUGGCUUCAGCUGUGGGUAAGUGGCCCACGCAGCUGUGCUGGGGAGUCACCCACGGCCAAAGCGGGAGGGCUGUGGGGCUGGGGAGCGGGGUGCUUCCCUCCCCAAGUGCUCACGGAGACAGCCUCCUUUCGCUGCCCGCCCCUUUCUGCCUGCCUGGGCACACCCUGGCGCCGCUGUGUGAGGAGCUGGCUGUCCUCAGGUGUCCAGAAGCCACCGCACCCCAGCCGCUGGCCUCCAACUUGGUCUGUCACGAAGAAACCAGAAUACUUGCCACAGCCACACCACUUCCCGGCCACAGCAGCACCGCAACCCAUGUGAUCACACACCCACAACCACAGCACCACACAAGCACACACACCAGGAACCACCACAACACCCACACGCCUGCAGACCACAACCACCCAGCCACCUCAGCACCACCUGCCACUUACCAAACCUGUACUGUGCGCCCACUGAGGAUCCUGGGAGGGAGUCUCCAGGCCUCCUUCUGCAGGCCAAGCAGACUUGCCUGGAGGCACAGACCGACGGGCACAGGAGCAGGCGGAGCUGGAACUGGAUUCUGGACUCUUCGCCCUGGAUGCUGUUCUCUAAAAACUCCGCCAGGAGGCGCGCUGCAGGGCGACAGUGCAGAGAGCUGUCUGGUCCGAUUGGGGGUGUACCGGCGGGGCUCUGAGAGGGAGCCCCAGCCUCAAACCGUCCUUUCCUUGGAGAGGACACCCUGGGGUGUCCUAAACACAGGGACACGGGCCUCUCUGCAUCUCCCAGGUCACUGCUUUCCUUACUGAAUGAAUGACUUGCUGUGACCUAGAGUCUAGCCCCAGUGCUUCCGUUGAGGGCGCCUUCCUUUGCCUGUUCUCCCUUUAGUCCGCCCUGGCUCCCUCCCUGGCCUCUGGCUCUGCAGUCGGCCUCGGCCGCCGGUUCCGCGGGCCGCCACUGGGUGGCGCAGCUGCCCGCGCGUGCUGAGGGGCCGCGGAGCGGUGCAGCCAGCCUCGGCCUCCCAGACCUCCAGCCAGCAGCCCGGGGCCGCCUUCUGUCAGCCUAGGCUCCGGGCUCCUGGGGCUGAGGAGGUCGGGAUCGUGUCGGCAAAGAGCAGGGUCUCCAAGCUCUGCCAGGGCCAUGGCUCUUUCCCCCAGGAAGUCCUCUCUGGGGUGCAGUGAACUGGACAACCUCCUUCCAAGAGAAGGGUCUCUGCACACAGAUGGAGUGACUGGGGUGGGGGUGGGGCGUCUUCGGGUACACACCCUGAGCCCUUCUCGGCGCCAGGCAUUUUACAAAUGUGAACUCCUUACAUUCUCACAUCCACCCUACAGGCCUCAUCUGACAGUGGAGGACACUGGCACAGGUUGUCUAGCUGGUCAGUGGCAGGACCUGGGUUCUAACCCCGGCAGUCGGAUGGCCUCCAGCCUCCUGUCAGGGAGGAGGUUGGGGAGGAGGCCGGCAGACCCGGCCUGGGACUGUGCCUGGAGUCAUGACUUUGAUGCCCCUCGGACAGACGCUUCAUUCAACAGAUGUUGAUGCAGGGCUUCCUGCUGGCCAGGCAGGGCAUGUGGCCCUUGCUGUAUGCUCCAGGACACCAGCCACAGUCCUUGCCCUGUGGAGCUGGUGGGGGAGACAGAGAUGAACCAAAAAACAAAAACCAACAAAUAUCAAAACAACUCAAACGAAAGAAAAAAUAAAAAAAUAAAAAAAAAUCA